AGAGAAAUAAUCUUGUAUUGGUUUAAGCCUUUUUGCAUGAUUUAGAAGACAACCUAUCCUUAAUGCAAAGUCAUUCACUUGAUCAAUUGAUCAAUAUAAAUUAGAUUUGAAUCAAGGAAGGUUAAAUCCCUCUAAUCAAUGCUAACUUAUCAACCUUCAACUCAUUGAUCAAAAAGAAAAAGAAGAAGAAAAAGGAGAUGAAUAAGAGAAAUGGAA
rnacentral:lncRNA from 1 species